rnacentral:rRNA from 1 species
UGUUUCGGCAAGGGGGUCAUCCCGACUUACCAACCCGAUGCAAACUGCGAAUACCGGAGAAUGUUAUCACGGGAGACACACGGCGGGUGCUAACGUCCGUCGUGAAGAGGGAAACAACCCAGACCGCCAGCUAAGGUCCCAAAGUCAUGGUUAAGUGGGAAACGAUGUGGGAAGGCCCAGACAGCCAGGAUGUUGGCUUAGAAGCAGCCAUCAUUUAAAGAAAGCGUAAUAGCUCACUGGUCGAGUCGGCCUGCGCGGAAGAUGUAACGGGGCUAAACCAUGCACCGAAGCUGCGGCAGCGACACUAUGUGUUGUUGGGUAGGGGAGCGUUCUGUAAGCCUGUGAAGGUGUACUGUGAGGUAUGCUGGAGGUAUCAGAAGUGCGAAUGCUGACAUAAGUAACGAUAAAGCGGGUGAAAAGCCCGCUCGCCGGAAGACCAAGGGUUCCUGUCCAACGUUAAUCGGGGCAGGGUGAGUCGACCCCUAAGGCGAGGCCGAAAGGCGUAGUCGAUGGGAAACAGGUUAAUAUUCCUGUACUUGGUGUUACUGCGAAGGGGGGACGGAGAAGGCUAUGUUGGCCGGGCGACGGUUGUCCCGGUUUAAGCGUGUAGGCUGGUUUUCCAGGCAAAUCCGGAAAAUCAAGGCUGAGGCGUGAUGACGAGGCACUACGGUGCUGAAGCAACAAAUGCCCUGCUUCCAGGAAAAGCCUCUAAGCAUCAGGUAACAUCAAAUCGUACCCCAAACCGACACAGGUGGUCAGGUAGAGAAUACCAAGGCGCUUGAGAGAACUCGGGUGAAGGAACUAGGCAAAAUGGUGCCGUAACUUCGGGAGAAGGCACGCUGAUAUGUAGGUGAAGUCCCUCGCGGAUGGAGCUGAAAUCAGUCGAAGAUACCAGCUGGCUGCAACUGUUUAUUAAAAACACAGCACUGUGCAAACACGAAAGUGGACGUAUACGGUGUGACGCCUGCCCGGUGCCGGAAGGUUAAUUGAUGGGGUCAGCGCAAGCGAAGCUCUUGAUCGAAGCCCCGGUAAACGGCGGCCGUAACUAUAACGGUCCUAAGGUAGCGAAAUUCCUUGUCGGGUAAGUUCCGACCUGCACGAAUGGCGUAAUGAUGGCCAGGCUGUCUCCACCCGAGACUCAGUGAAAUUGAACUCGCUGUGAAGAUGCAGUGUACCCGCGGCAAGACGGAAAGACCCCGUGAACCUUUACUAUAGCUUGACACUGAACAUUGAGCCUUGAUGUGUAGGAUAGGUGGGAGGCUUGGAAGUGUGGACGCCAGUCUGCAUGGAGCCGACCUUGAAAUACCACCCUUUAAUGUUUGAUGUUCUAACGUUGACCCGUAAUCCGGGUUGCGGACAGUGUCUGGUGGGUAGUUUGACUGGGGCGGUCUCCUCCUAAAGAGUAACGGAGGAGCACGAAGGUUGGCUAAUCCUGGUCGGACAUCAGGAGGUUAGUGCAAUGGCAUAAGCCAGCUUGACUGCGAGCGUGACGGCGCGAGCAGGUGCGAAAGCAGGUCAUAGUGAUCCGGUGGUUCUGAAUGGAAGGGCCAUCGCUCAACGGAUAAAAGGUACUCCGGGGAUAACAGGCUGAUACCGCCCAAGAGUUCAUAUCGACGGCGGUGUUUGGCACCUCGAUGUCGGCUCAUCACAUCCUGGGGCUGAAGUAGGUCCCAAGGGUAUGGCUGUUCGCCAUUUAAAGUGGUACGCGAGCUGGGUUUAGAACGUCGUGAGACAGUUCGGUCCCUAUCUGCCGUGGGCGCUGGAGAACUGAGGGGGGCUGCUCCUAGUACGAGAGGACCGGAGUGGACGCAUCACUGGUGUUCGGGUUGUCAUGCCAAUGGCACUGCCCGGUAGCUAAAUGCGGAAGAGAUAAGUGCUGAAAGCAUCUAAGCACGAAACUUGCCCCGAGAUGAGUUCUCCCUGACUCCUUGAGAGUCCUGAAGGAACGUUGAAGACGACGACGUUGAUAGGCCGGGUGUGUAAGCGCAGCGAUGCGUUGAGCUAACCGGUACUAAUGAACCGUGAGGCUUAACCUU